UGGGGAAUAUUGGACAAUGGGGGCAACCCUGAUCCAGCAAUGCCGCGUGUGUGAAGAAGGUCUUCGGAUUGUAAAGCACUUUCGACGGGGACGAUGAUGACGGUACCCGUAGAAGAAGCCCGGCUACUUCGUGCCAGCAGCCGCGGUAAUACGAAGGGGGCUAGCGUUGCUCGGAAUGACUGGGCGUAAAGGGCGUGUAGGCGGUUUACACAGUCAGAUGUGAAAUCCCCGGGCUUAACCUGGGAGCUGCAUUUGAUACGUGUAGACUAGAGUGUGAGAGAGGGUUGUGGAAUUCCCAGUGUAGAGGUGAAAUUCGUAGAUAUUGGGAAGAACACCGGUGGCGAAGGCGGCAACCUGGCUCAUGACUGACGCUGAGGCGCGAAAGCGUGGGGGGCAA
rnacentral:rRNA from 1 species